rnacentral:snRNA from 9 species
AUACUUACCUGAUGUAAGGAUACCGUGAUCAUGCAGGCGGUUCCCCCAGCGUGAGGCUGCUCCAUUGCACUGCGGAGUGAUUGACCCUUGCGAUUAUUUUUAUAUUUUAUAAGUUCCACUUCUACCGUGUGUGACUUGCACACACACACA